AAUUUUGGACAAUGGGCGCAAGCCUGAUCCAGCCAUGCCGCGUGAGUGAAGAAGGACUUCGGGUUGUCACGCACUUUCGGAAGGAAAGAAAACGCGCAGGCUACUACCUUGCGAGGUUGACGCUACCGUCAUAAGAAGCACCGGCUAACUACGUGCCAGCAGCCGCGGUAAUACGAAGGGUGCGAGCGUUAAUCGGAAUUGCUGGGCGUAAAGCGUGCGCAGGCGGUUGAUUAAGACAGACGUAAAAGCCCCAGGCUUAACCUGGGAACUGCGCUUGUGACUGAUCAGCUAGAGUACGGCAGAGGGGGGUGGAAUUCCACGUGUAGCAGUGAAAUGCGUAGAGAUAUGGAGGAACACCGAUGGCGAAGGCAACCCCCUGGGCCGAUACUGACGCUCAUGCACGAAAGCGUGGGUAGCAAACAGG
rnacentral:rRNA from 1 species